UAAUCCUCACCCUAGCUUAUCCUGUUCAAAUCGUUUCCAUCUUUUUCUGGAUGAACCUGGGCGGAUGUCAGACCAGAGAAGAGCACAGAAUGUACCAGAGAGAGUCUUGCUCUGUCACCCAGGCUGAAGUGCACCCAGGCUGAAGUUGGAGGCUAUGAUGCGGUGAUGGGAGGCAUAUACACAAAGAUGAAGGACUGGCUACAGCUUUCACAGAUCUUACAACCUACUGAGAGAGCAAAGACACAGUGAAGAGACCAUUCAGAAUACAGCCAAACUCCAAGAUCACUGGGAGAGCUUAUUUAAAGACCAGAAAGGUUACUGAACAUGGUGACUCUCUUCAAAGCCAGACCUUUGUCCUUGAAUUUAGGGCUUAAAAAACAAUAGUAGGGCCGGGCGCGGUGGCUCAUGCCCGUAAUCCCAACACUUUGGGAGGCCAAGGUGGGCAGAUCACCUGAGGUCAGGAGUUCGAGACCAG
rnacentral:sRNA from 1 species